rnacentral:rRNA from 1 species
CGGCAACAGCUCAAAUUUGAAACCUGGCGCUUGCGUCCGGAUUGUAAUUUGUAGAGGAUGCUUCUGGGCAGCGGCCGUUCUAAGUUCCUUGGAACAGGACGUCAUAGAGGGUGAGAAUCCCGUAUGUGACCGGCGCGCACCCUCCACGUAGCUCCUUCGACGAGUCGAGUUGUUUGGGAAUGCAGCUCUAAAUGGGAGGUAAAUUUCUUCUAAAGCUAAAUAUUGGCCAGAGACCGAUAGCGCACAAGUAGAGUGAUCGAAAGAUGAAAAGCACUUUGGAAAGAGAGUUAAAAAGCACGUGAAAUUGUUGAAAGGGAAGCGCUUCCAACCAGACUCCGCGGCGGUGUUCCGCCGGUCUUCUGACCGGUCCACUCGCCGCCGUGGGGCCAACAUCGUCUGGGGCCGCCGGAUAAGACCGGAGGAAUGUAGCUCAUUGAGUGUUAUAGCCUCCGGUGAUGCGGCGCGUCCCGGGCGAGGUCCGCGCUUCGGCAAGGAUGUUGGCGUAAUGGUUGGCAGCGGCCCGUCUUGAAACACGGACCAAGGAGUCUAACAUCUAUGCGAGUGUUCGGGUGUCAAACCCCUACGCGUAAUGAAAGUGAACGGAGGUGGGAGCUUCGGCGCACCAUCGACCGAUCCUGAUGUCCUCGGAUGGAUUUGAGUAAGAGCAUAGCUGUUGGGACCCGAAAGAUGGUGAACUAUGCCUGAAUAGGGUGAAGCCAGAGGAAACUCUGG